UAUUAUUUAUUUAUUGUUUUUAGUUUUUUAUUUAUUUUUAUUUUAAAUAUUAUUAUUUUAUUUUCUUUAAAAAAUUUAAUUUAUUAUAGUUUAAUAGUAAAGUGAUUUAUUAUUUGUUAAUAAAAUUUAAGAAAAAUUUAUUUUUUGUACCUUGUGUAUCAGGGUUUAUUAAUUAAUUUAUAAAUAUAUUAUUUUUCCCGAAUUAAAAAGAUUUAAUUAAUUAUUAUUUUGAAUGUAUUAAAAUUCUUAUUAAUAAUAAAUUAGAAAUGAAAUGUUAGUCGUUUUUUAAAAUAUCUGGUUAAUAAAGAAAAAAAUUUAAUUUUAUUACUUGUUAUUUUGAUUAAUUAUUUUAAUUAAUUAUUAGCUUGUAAUUUAUUAAUUAGGGGAUAAUUUCUUAUUAAUAUAUUUAUAAAUUUAUUAUUUUGUUAAAUUAAAUGUAAUUAAAAAUUUUAAUUUUUAGUAGUUUGUUAUAAUUAUUUUUAUGUUUAUAUUAUUUUUAUUUAUUUUAAAUAUUUUAUUUAUUAGAUUUAUUUAAUAAUUACUUUUAUGUUAAUAUGAUGGAAUUAGUAAAUAUAAAUUUAUUAUAUUAUAAUUUUUAAAAAUUAUUUUUAAGGAAUUAGGCAAUUUAAAUUUUUCGCCUGUUUAUUAAAAACAUGUUUUUUUGAUUUUGAUUUAAAAUUUAAUCUGCCCAUAUGAUUUAAUUAAAUGGCCGCAGUAUUUUGACUGUGCAAAGGUAGCGUGAUAAUUAGUUUCUUAAUUGGAAGCUGGUAUGAAGGAUUGGACGAGAAAAUUUCUGUCUUAAUUAUAAACAUUUAAUUUUAUUUUUAAGUUAAAAAGCUUAAAUAAUUUUAAGGGACGAGAAGACCCUAUAGAGUUUUAUAUAAAAUUAAAUUUUAAUUAUUGGUUUAUUAAAAUUUUAUUUUUUGUUAUAUUUGAUUGGGGUGAUUAAAAGAUUUAUUUAACUCUUUAGAUUUAAACAAUGAUUUUUGAUAUUUUUGAUCUAUUAUUUAAUUGAAAGAAUAAAUUACCUUAGGGAUAACAGCGUAAUUUUUUUUUAAGUUCUUAUUAAAGUAAAAGAUUGCGACCUCGAUGUUGGAUUAAAAUUAAAUUAGGGUGAAGAAGCUUUAAUUUUAGGUCUGUUCGACCUUUAAAAUUUUACAUGAUCUGAGUUUAAACCGGUGUGAGCCAGGUUGGUUUCUAUCUUUAAAUAAUUAGUAAAUUUAUUAGUACGAAAGGACCAUAAAUUUAAUAUAAUUUAUUUUUUGUUUUUUGAAUUAAUU
rnacentral:rRNA from 1 species